rnacentral:rRNA from 1 species
GCCCUAAAGACUGGGAUACCACUUGGAAACAGGUGCUAAUACCGGAUAACAACAUGAAUCGCAUGAUUCAAGUUUGAAAGGCGGCGCAAGCUGUCACUUUAGGAUGAGCCCGCGGCGCAUUAGCUAGUUGGUGGGGUAAAGGCCUACCAAGGCAAUGAUGCGUAGCCGAGUUGAGAGACUGAUCGGCCACAUUGGGACUGAGACACGGCCCAAACUCCUACGGGAGGCAGCAGUAGGGAAUCUUCCACAAUGGACGCAAGUCUGAUGGAGCAACGCCGCGUGAGUGAAGAAGGUCUUCGGAUCGUAAAGCUCUGUUGUUGGUGAAGAAGGAUAGAGGCAGUAACUGGUCUUUAUUUGACGGUAAUCAACCAGAAAGUCACGGCUAACUACGUGCCAGCAGCCGCGGUAAUACGUAGGUGGCAAGCGUUGUCCGGAUUUAUUGGGCGUAAAGCGAGCGCAGGCGGAAUGAUAAGUCUGAUGUGAAAGCCCACGGCUCAACCGUGGAACUGCAUCGGAAACUGUCAUUCUUGAGUGCAGAAGAGGAGAGUGGAACUCCAUGUGUAGCGGUGGAAUGCGUAGAUAUAUGGAAGAACACCAGUGGCGAAGGCGGCUCUCUGGUCUGCAACUGACGCUGAGGCUCGAAAGCAUGGGUAGCGAACAGGAUUAGAUAC